rnacentral:lncRNA from 1 species
AAUCCAGAUUCAAUAGUCAGUAUAAUUCUGUCAUUGAUAGUAGUCAUCAGGUCAAACUGAAGAAUGAAUGGCUUUCUUUCAUUCAUCAUACUUUUGACUGCAUUCAGUAGAGCAAUUGAGGCAUCAUUCCUUGCCAUAGGUACACGAUUACCAGGCGAUAAGCUUCUUUACUCGUUCCGGCUACAAAGUGGACCGUAUGCGGAAGCCACAGAUAUCAGGCUAACCUUCGAUUAUCGAGUCGAAGAUUUAAUUCUGGGUCGUGAGUUUUUAACCAUGAUUAACUUUACUCGACCAGAUGAUGAUCUGUUGCCGAACUACUUCGAACGUGCUGAGCUAAACUCUACACACUUGUUCAUGACGCCUGUCCGAAGGAGUGUUACCAGCUGGUGGCUGCAGGGCGAUUUAUAUGGAUUCAAUGAGGAGCUAUUUCCAUCGAACUGAGCUGCAAUAAACAGGGACCACAUGUGAUGACAUAUGACGUGAAUUAAAACUCAUUCAACCGAAUUUGUCUACCGGGAGCAACAAAGUUUGGCUACGCGCCAGACUAUGUUUUCCGAUAUAACGUGGGCAGACGUUGUUGUCACCAUCAUCAUCCGCAGAUGUAGUGUAAACUAUAGUACCUGGACAAAUGAAAGUUUGAAGACACACUGAAGUUACACUGCGGAACACGUUUUUCUCUCAAGCACCAGAAUACCGCUUUUUACUUAACUAAGCUGUGGAUUAGAGUUAUGCUGAUACUUCUAGAUACAUUCGUCAGCUACAACUUUUCCGAAGACCGUAAUCAAAUCGAUAAGAUAAAAAAGUGAGUACUUGAACAUGAAAACAUGUGCCUUCGAUAAACAUGCGAUAAUCUUGUUUCAUUCUUGAUAAUUGUUGCCAUAAUAUUUCAACUGUUUUUGCUCAAUUGUAAUAUAAAAUAUUUGUGGCACUGUACGGAUAUUGAGCUUCAUUAGUUGGUAAUAUCGUUUAUCAUUGAUCCAGUUUUAUCUCAUGAAACAAUGUAAGGUAAAUGUAGAUGUAUAUUAUAUAUCAGCAGUUUUCCCAUGAAAAAUGAAUCAACCGCCUGCGAGCGUCGCGAUAACACCAAAAUGUGCCUUUCAAUUGGGGAGGGAACACCCGUGACCAUAUUUUCUUUUAUCUUCAUUUUUUACAAUGGGCUUGCAUUCCACAUGAUCGGUUUUAAUUUUUUUAUAAAGGCUCAUCUUGAACCACAUCAGAGAAGCACAUGCUAUUUCCAUCGCCCGAAAUCAAGUGUAUUGAUCGAUGGAAAUUUUUAGUCGGGUUUAAAUAGCAUAUACGCAUUUAAAAGAAAGUAAAAUACAUUCCAUAUGGUUGUGUCUGAAAAUAGAAAUAAUAUGAUAUUGAACAUAACGUCAACGUGGUGAUUUAUCCUUUAAAAAUAUCUUCUGUGACAUUCAAUUACAAAAUCAAUGAAAAAGAAUACGGUAUGUAUGAUUCAAAAAUAGGGUGCGUACUAGCACAUAGAAAUGCUUGAUUAAUGAAGCAAAUACUAGAUUGGCAAGCUCUAUCAAAUUGAACAAUCACAACAAACGCAAUAUAUACUUAGUAUUACUAUAUAAUUAUAUUCGAUUAGAAAAUGGUCAGCCCUUUGUUGAAAUAAAAUACACACUGAAGCUUCAUUUUGUGUCACAUUA